UACAGAGGUCUCAAGCGUUGUUCGGAUUCAUUGGGCGUAAAGGGUGCGUAGGCGGCGCGGUAAGUCGGGUGUGAAAUCUCGGGGCUUAACUCCGAAACUGCAUUCGAUACUGCCGUGCUUGAGGACUGGAGAGGAGACUGGAAUUUACGGUGUAGCGGUGAAAUGCGUAGAGAUCGGGAAGAACAUCAGUGGCGAAGGCGACCGACUGGGUUACAUCUGACGCUGAGAUGCGAAAGUGUGGGGAGCAAACGGG
rnacentral:rRNA from 1 species